rnacentral:rRNA from 1 species
ACACAUAGGCGGGGCGUCUUAGAAUGCAGUCGAGCGUGAAGCCCGCAAGGGUGAGUAAAGCGGCGAACGGGUGAGUAAUACUUGGGUAACAUCCCUCUUAGAUUGGGAUAACGCGCCGAAAGGCGUGCUAAUACCGGAUAAGACCACGACCCCUCCGGGGGUUGGGGUCAAAGAUGGCCUCUAUUUAUAAGCUAUCACUAGGAGAUUGGCUCAAGCACCAUUAGCUAGUUGGCGGGGUAACGGCCCACCAAGGCGACGAUGGUUAGCCGGCCUGAGAGGGUGAUCGGCCACACUGGGACUGAGAUACGGCCCAGACUCCUACGGGAGGCAGCAGUUUGGAAUAUUCCACAAUGGGCGAAAGCCUGAUGGAGCGACACCGCGUGAAGGACGAAGGUCUUCGGAUUGUAAACUUCUUUAGACCUAGAUGAAGACUUCAAGGUGAAUAAUCUUGAAGUUUGACAGUAUAGGUAGAAUAAGCCACGGCUAACUCUGUGCCAGCAGCCGCGGUAAUACAGAGGUGGCAAACGUUGUCCGGAUUUAUUGGGUGUAAAGGGCAUGUAGGUGGUUUUGUAAGUCAAAGGUGAAAUGGCCCGGCUCAACCAGGUCAUUGCCUUUGAAACUGCAGAGCUUGAGUACGGAAGAGGAAAGCGGAAUUCCCAGUGUAGCGGUGAAAUGCGUAGAUAUUGGGAGGAACACCGGUGGCGAAGGCGGCUUUCUGGUCCGAAACUGACACUGAGAUGCGAAAGCCAGGGGAGCAAACGGGAUUAGAUACCCCGGUAGUCCUGGCCGUAAACGAUGAGAACUAGGUGUUAGAGGUAUCCACUCCUCUAGUGCCGCAGUUAACGCAUUAAGUUCUCCACCUGGGGACUACGACCGCAAGGUUGAAACUCAAAGAAAUUGACGGGGGCCCGCACAAGCAGUGGAGCAUGUGGUUCAAUUCGACGCAACGCGAAGAACCUUACCUGGAUUUGACAUCCUCUGACCGCCUAUGAAAGUAGGUUUCCCCGCAGGGCAGAG